rnacentral:lncRNA from 1 species
CAGGCCUCUGCCACGAGGGCUGCCUUCCCCUGAGCUGGGAGUUCUCACUCAGCUCAUGCCUCCGUCCCUCUGGCUGCAGCCUGGCCGCCCUCCUUGGAAGUUGGCGGGGAACCUCUUGUGCCCAGAGCCUGCCUUGGACACGGUUUGGGGAUGAGGUGGGAAGGACCCUGCACUGUUCUGGGCUCCCCCAGCCACAGGUGUGGCCUCAAGCCAG